rnacentral:misc_RNA from 1 species
UCUUCUAUCUCUCUAGCAUGCUGAAUGUUUCCUUAAAAGUUUCUAAUAAAGUCUGUUGUGUUAAUUAUUUGUUGGGCUAAAGUUAUUUGUUUAUAAAUCUCUUUUAAAAAUUCAUAUUUAUUAAAUCCAGAUCAAAAUUCAUAGGUCAAGAGUGAUUGCAAAAGUGGAGACUUCGAGAGUCUCGAAAUCUAAAUAUGCAAGAAGUAGAAGGCACAGACGCAGGGUCACCAUGGAACAAUUCCAGUGGUUGCGAAGAAGAGCGCAGGUCGAAUCAAAAGGAGGGUAAAAAAUCCAAUGUUUUGCCAUUAUGGGGUAAUGAAAGAACUAUGAAUCUGAAUCCAUUAAUAUUGACGAAUAUACAAUCUUCACAUUAUUUCAAAGUUAAUUUGUAUGAAUUGAAAACUUAUCAUGAAGUGAUAGAUGAAAUUUAUUACAAAGUAUCGCAUUUGGAACCAUGGGAAAAAGGAAGCAGGAAAACGGCAGGCCAAACUGGCAUGUGUGGAGGCGUACGAGGUGUGGGUGCUGGCGGUAUCGUCUCAACAGCUUAUUGCCUUCUAUUUAAACUUUUCACGUUGAGGUUAACAAGAAAGCAGUUGAAUGGUCUAAUUAAUCAUCUGGAUUCACCGUAUAUACGUGCCUUGGGCUUUAUGUAUAUCAGUAGGUCGCAAUUAUUCCUUCUAUUAUGAUACAACUAUGACAUACUAUGCUGAAUACAAAUAUCAAUAGUUAUUAAAAGGAUGAAAAGAUAUCAUUACCGAAGAUCUUUUAAAUUUAAGGAAAUCAUAAAACAGUGCGACUAAUAGUUACGUUCCAGCUGAGGACUUGAAAAUGAUAUACUCAACCGCCAGCAGAUUUGUUCAGUUGGUACAGUGAUUAUUUAGAA